AACCCGAGAAAUUAGAAAAUUAUUAAAAUCUUAAAUGAUUGGUUUAAGGUCAAAUAAUAGACCUAGACAGAAAAUAAGUGAAUGUGUUUGAUGUUUUCAGAAAGGAAUUUUGAGCAUUUAAAAUUUCUUUUAGUGAAUUAUUCAGGAUUAAGGGUAUAUGUGUAUAUGUUCAAGAUUACGGUAUCAUGUGUACAGAAUGUGGUUAAGGGUCAAGUGUUGACCAGAUAAAUUAUAUCUGUGUCAAACCCUAAUAGUAUAUAUUAAGAACGUCCACGUUCAGUUAUAAAAUUAUUACGUUUUAUAAGAAACCCUAGAAAUCGGUUCUGGAAACCCUAAUUUCAGUUCCGGGAAUCCGAAACCCUAAUUCGGUAUUUGAAAACCCUAAUCCGAGAAAUUAUCGGAUAAGUAUAAUGCUUAAGUGCUAUUAAUUAUAAUAUUAAUUAGGGUAAAGCUUAAUUAAUUAGCAAACCCUAAUUUCAGAAUUUUUGAACCCUAAUUGUUCUGUUAGGAACCCUAAUGUACAGUUAUGGAAUUAAUUGCUAAACUAGCAAUAUUAAUUAGGAAAUAUUAAUCCUAAUCAGUUAAAGUCAUAAUGUAAUUGAGAAAUUAUAUUAUAAUUUGAGUAUGUUAUGUUAUAUUUUAUAUAAUUUAUAUAUCAAAUAUGGGUUAUAUAAAUUAUAGGAUUCCAAGAGGGUAAAAUAAAUUAAGGAGAUUUAUGUAGUAACUUAUUUGAUUAAAUUAAGUUACUAAGAUUGAGUAAUUAAAUAACUUAAAAAAAUAUGGAAGUGAAUUAUAAAAGUUAAGGGGGAAUUGUGCGAGUUAAGAAAACCUUAGGGUUAAAAAGUUAAUAUUUGAAACUUAAGAAAAUAUCUUAAGGAAUAUGCUAAGGAAUAAAGAAUAUUCUGAGAAUAUGCUAAGAAUAUGCCAAGGGGUGAUUUGCAAGCUUUUAAAGACUAGGGGGAAGACUAGAGAAGAUUUAAGUUGGGUGACUAACUUAUAAAAAAUUGAAAGUAACUUCUAUAUAAGCAAAAUCAAAAUUUACUUAUAUUCAUUUUAGCCAAAUUGGCUAAGUAUAGAGAGAGAGAGAGAGAGAGACAAGAGAGAGAGAAGAUGAGCUAGGAUUAUCAUGUAGCAAGCCAAGAACAACACCCCAAGAUCCAUCUCAUAUCUUUGAAGAAGAAAGAAAAUCAAAGCAAGGUAUAAGAAUUCUUAAACACAAAACUCUAAUUAGUUUAUGUGUUUGAUUUUUGUCAAAAUAAUGAGUUUUGAUCUUCAAAACUCUAGAUCUACAUGAUUUAGAGCGUUUUAUAUGUGGAUCUAUCUAUUUUAUGUUUCAAAAGAUAGAUCAAAAGCAAGAAAAGUGAAGCUAGGUUUUUAAGGUGUAGGAAAUCUUAUUUUUCUUACUCUUGAAUGUGUUUAAUCUUGUAUUUGAUUUUUGGUUAUUUUGAACCAUGAAGUUUAUGAUCCUGAACAUGAGAACUAUAGAUCUACAUGAUAUAUGAUGUUUUAUGGUUAGAUCAUGCCAUUUUUAGGGUCGACAAGCUUGAUCAAGAGAAAGAAAAGCAAAACAGUUUUUUUUAAAAUGAAUUGGUAACUGCUGC
rnacentral:lncRNA from 1 species